rnacentral:rRNA from 1 species
AUUGAACGCUGGCGGCAGGCUUAACACAUGCAAGUCGAGCGGGGUGAUGGUGCUUGCACUAUCACUUAGCGGCGGACGGGUGAGUAAUGCUUAGGAAUCUGCCUAUUAGUGGGGGACAACAUCUCGAAAGGGAUGCUAAUACCGCAUACGUCCUACGGGAGAAAGCAGGGGAUCACUUGUGACCUUGCGCUAAUAGAUGAGCCUAAGUCGGAUUAGCUAGUUGGUGGGGUAAAGGCCUACCAAGGCGACGAUCUGUAGCGGGUCUGAGAGGAUGAUCCGCCACACUGGGGCUGAGACACGGCCCAGACUCCUACGGGGGGCAGCAGUGGGGAAUAUUGGACAAUGGGGGAACCCUGAUCCAGCCAUGCCGCGUGUGUGAAGAAGGCCUUAUGGUUGUAAAGCACUUUAAGCGAGGAGGAGGCUCUUUUGGUUAAUACCCAGAAUGAGUGGACGUUACUCGCAGAAUAAGCACCGGCUAACUCUGUGCCAGCAGCCGCAGUAA